UUUCCGUAGGUGAACCUGCGGAAGGAUCAUUCAUAAUAUGUGAUUUAUGGCGCUUUUUUUAAUCUUUAGCCACCUUGUGUGCAAUGUUAUGGUUGCUUUCUUUUUAGCAGUCCUUAACAUCGUCUAUUAUCCCCGCCCUUUGUCUGCCAAAUAUUUUUAAUAAAACCUUCGUUAAUACAACUUUCAACUACGUAUCUCUUGACUCUCAUAUCUAUGAAGAACGCAGCAAAACUUUCAACAACACGUCUGUACUUCAGUCCCUCAUAGUAGAACGCUACA
rnacentral:misc_RNA from 1 species